GGGGUGACAGUUUUAUGGAUGAGGAGGAGACCUAAGACAACCGACGGCAAACUGAAAUUGUGAGCACUACGAAGGAGGUUGAGUUGUUGUGGAGAUCAUGGGCAGGAAAAUGUGGAGGUAACUACCAGGUGAGGGAAACCGUAAGGAACUGCCCCCUGAACUGCUACUACAGCAGUUAUUUUUGGGAGUUUAAGUGGCUGAGAUUUAAUUUCAGCCAAAUCCAAUGGUGGAUAUUGAUUCAAGAGUUGGUUACACUUAAUGGGAACCAUAGAUAUAUAUAUAAUUCGGAUCCAUUAGAAAUAAAAGGAAACACCAUAUCACUCUUUUGUAGAAACCCUUGGCGUCAAAAUCUCUCAGCCGGUUCCUUCUUCUUCCCCUCAAUGCUCUACGAUCUACAAGCAAGGCUAUUUUGUAUAGUUGGAGUGCACCCAACACGUUGCAAAGCGGGUAUAUUUUCUUAACCACAAACCCCUGUUUGCAAAUUGAUUUAUCAAUAUAUAGAACGCUAAAAGCUGAAGAAACCAAUCAUCCUCAAGUGCAAUCGCCUCAUCUUUCGGUGCUUGAGUCUCAAAUCGCUACAAAUGUUGCUCAAGACAAUAGGUACUCUUGGAGCUUGCACGGGAGGCGUGAUCGUUGUGGGCACAUGGACUGUUGAGUUCCAUGUUAAAUUUUACAUUUUGUGAACUUAUUACUUAUGUUGGGUUUUUCACAAUUAUGCUUCCGCUGAAUACUUUAACUAUGUUUGGUUUUGAUCACCUUUAUAUUGAUGGGUUGAAUUUUAUU
rnacentral:lncRNA from 1 species